CCGGGUUCCCGCAGUCCGCUUUCCCAUGAACCCUCACUGCGUCGCGAGAAUGCGGCAGUCAUAAUUUCAUCUACAGCCUCAAGUACAACCCUGAUGUCACUAUUACAACUCAAAAUGUAAUUAAAGAUCUAUAAUGAGCAAUUUGUGUAAUCUGGUCACCCAAGGAAAGCGUUAAAAACAGCUCGCCCCACUCACACACCACCUACGCCUUUGUUUGGCGUCUUGUUUUUUGCUGAAAAACCUCCUUCCUGCGAGCCUUUGAGAAGUUUAAUCACCUCUCCUUCUUUCUCUCUCUCUCUCUCCCUCUCCCUCCUUCUCUCUCUCCCCCUCUCCCGCCUUCUCUCGCUCUCCCUUCUCUCUCCCCACCGCUGUGCCGCGGAGUCGUGUUGGCGUGACGGGGUGGAAAAGGUCACUCCUGUUUCUUCGUUUUCGGGGCAAGUGGAGCGAGGGAAGAGGAGGAGCGAGGAGGAGGGCAGAAGCAGGUAGAGGCCUCUCUGCACUCGUCCGCUGUUCUGUCGGUUCUGUGGACCGAGCGCUAAUGGGGCGUCACGCUGAGCUGGCGCAGAGCACGCCUGCUGCUGCUGCUGUACAUUAUGGGAAACACACCUUCACACACACACACACACACACACACACAGAGAGAGAGAGAAGGCCGAUCGAUGCAGUAAGAGAUGCGGAAUUGCGCGCGUGUGUGUGCGUGUGUGAGAGGAAAAAACAGAGCCAACAGCAACACAAAGACAAAUUUGAUAUUUUUUUUAUGAUCCACUCGACACAAUUACACCACAGGAGCAUUUUCUCCAUUCUCAUGAUGUGUGUGUGUGUGUGUGUGUGACCCCAGUGCACGAUGUGUGAUGAAAUAUCAAAUCUCCACAAAGAUAUACACACGGUGUAAGACAAGAACAAUACAACAAAUUACACAACACACACACACACACACACACACACACACACACACACGCUCCAGAAGCGAAGAUGUACUCAUGGGAAAUAUUCGAUAGUCGUUUACUACUCAGGUGGCCGAUCAAUUCUCAAAAUAAUUAUGACAGACAAGUUAAUCUGCAGGAUUUCUACAAUCUCAACGGUACUCUUUCACUUCCUGUGGUUCCUGCUUCUCUACACAGACUCCGCCCACUAAAAAAAACUCGUGUAAUAUUCCUUUUCAGCCAGUUUUGUGAUAGCUCCGCCCAUCGGAACCUUUACACUUUCCCCGUUAACCCUUCGCCUAACCGAACCCUAGGUGAAAUAAAUUCCAUUCUAAUUUGGAGAUAUCGUUUCAGAUUGUCAGCCUCCUCAGCCAAUCAGAUUCGCCUCGUAUCUGGCCUCCAUUUACGCAAGCGCGCGUUUUACAUACGGGACGUCUGAGUCGGGGAGAUUAAAAAAAUAAAGUCAGAACUCGGCAAUUAAUCAUCGUUUGGUUGGAUAUAGUGAUACGGUGGGGUAGACAAAGAGCAUAUGGAGAGUGAGACCGUCAGAGUGAGGCAAAGAGUGAGACAGAGUGAAACAGAUACAGUGAGGUAGACAAAGAGCACACAGAGAGUGAGACAGUCAGAGUGAGACGGGAAAAAGUGAAACAGGUACAGUGAGGUAGACGAAGAGCACACAGAGAGUGAGACAGUCAGAGUGAGACAGUCAGAGUGAGACAGGAAAAAGUGAAACAGGUACAGUGAGGUAGACGAAGAGCACACAGAGAGUGAGACAGUCAGUGUGAGACAGUCAGAGUGAGACAGGAAAAAGUGAAACAGGUACAGUGAGGUAGACGAAGAGCACACAGAGAGUCACAUAUGGACCGGUUUCACUGAUCGACACGGACGUAUUUCAUGAAUCUGCUCUGUAUUCAUCGUGUUUCUCAGGUCUAAGACCGUGAAGAUCGGACUUGCGUUCUCGUGAAGUCUGUGAAGAACCGGUCUUGCCCGGCUACCUUGGAAGAACGACCUUCACGCAUCUUUGCGAGAACUGAGAUGUGCUGCGCGCUUCCUGCUGCGCGGUGCACCGUCCCAGCACAUCUCUCGUAGAGGGACAGGACCGUCGUCUCUUCAUUGCUGCCGGAGUAAUAUGUUUCAGCCGCUUAACAGAUUCGCUCUUACACGGCUGAUUAACCGGAAGUUAAUUAAGACCAGUUUAAUGUAGUAAGCUCGCUGCGACCUCACGUUAACUAAAAACGAAGCUGAGGAGUUUCCCGUCUCCUCAGGGUGGACGCUAGCGUUGAUUAAUUCAAAUAUUUCGGAGAGAUAGAUUCCACUUUUCAACCAGCUCAUAUAUAUCUCAAUCUAAAUCUUAUCUCACAUGCGUUCUUUUACGAUGCAUCUUUGGAUUAUUGUCUGUAAAGAGACGUUAAAAGUGUCAUGUGACCGCCGCUUUCGUCACGGGGCAGGCUUCAGAGAGAGAGAGAGAGAGAGAGAGAGAGAGAGAGAGAGAGAGACGGAGGGUUCGAUAUAGUGAGGUAGACAAAGAGCAUCUAGAGAGUGAGACAGAAAAAGCGUGAGCUGGAUAGUGAGACAUAGAAAGAGAGUAAGGCAAAGAGUGAGACAGACAAAGAAUGAGACAGAAUGUGAGACAGACAAAGAAUGAGACAGAGAGUGAGACAGACAAAGAGCAUCUAGAGAGUGAGACAGAAAAAGAAUGAGCUGGAUAGUGAGACAUAGAAAGAGAGUAAGGCAAAGAGUGAGACAGACAAAGAAUGAGACAGAAUGUGAGACAGACAAAGAAUGAGACAGAGAGUGAGACAGACAAAGAGCAUCCAGAGAGUGAGACAGAAAAAGAAUGAGCUGGAUAGUGAGACAUAGAAAGAGAGUAAGGCAAAGAGUGAGACAGACAAAGAAUGAGACAGAGAGUGAGACAGACAAAAGAGCAUAUAGAGAGUGAGACGGAUAGUAAGACAGAGAGAGUGAGACAAAGACUGAGAGAGAAAAAAGUGAAACAUAUAGUGAGGUAGACAAAGAGCGUAUAGAGGGCGAGACAGAAAAACAGUGAGCUGGAUAAUAGACAGAGACAGAGAGACAGAGAGUGAGACAGACAAAGCACAUAGAGAGUGAGACGGAUAGAGAGAGAGAUGCAAAGAGUGAGAUAGGGAGUGAGACAGGCAAAGAAUGAGACUAAGUAUGAGGCAGAAAAGGAGCAAGAUAGAGUGAGGCAAAGAGUGAGACAGGUAUAUAUAUAGAGACAGAUGCAAAGAGUGAGACAGGGAGUGAGACGAAGUGUGAGGUAGAAAAAGAGUGAGACAAAGAAUGUGAGAGAGUGAGGUACAGCGUGAGGCACAAAAAAAAGAGAGCGGCAGAGAGUGAGACCAAAAGAGUGCAGUAGAGUGAGGCAGAAAGAGUGAGACAGAGAGCGAGACAGAAAAAAACCCUCUUUCUCUCAUCCUCGCUAACUAGCGUUUAACUGAGCAGCUAGCGUAUCAUUUACCUCCUGCCUGCUCACACGGAUGCACGUGUGCAGGUGUUUCACACGCCACACACUCAAUCUAAUCCAUUACACGACAAGAUAAACAACUUUAAACCUUCAACGGAAACAAGACCUCAGCUACGCUAAGCUAGCUGUCUUCAUCCGUGUCUGAGAGAAACUGAAGAAGACGCGCUUUUGGCUAAUGUGAGCGAGUGGUGCGGUGGAGUGUAAUCUAACGCAACGCCUCAUAAUCCGGUCAUCGGGGUUCAAAUCUAGACGACGCCUCUGUGUUGCUUCCACGCAUUUCCUUCACACCUCCAUUUACCUUCCUAAGGUUGAAGAAAAGCAUGUUGCGAGCACAUAAUCUAGUUGUGUUAGUCUAAAAAUUACCGGGCUAAUUUAAGAGCCAUUACAGCAAUAUACUAUAAUCUACUCCACUUUUACAGCCAUUAUGGAUCCAGUGUCUUAUUUCUAAACCGGUGUCUAUGAGCUUCCCUCGCUCGUUAGCCUGUACACGCCAGUCUAAAGACGUGAGAGCAAACAUCUGGCAUCGAGCUUGUACCUGUUCUUAAAUAUCAGACGAGUGGAUUAUGUUACACACGCUGCGUUAAAGUUAAGUCGAUUCAAUUUCCUGUCUAGUCCAGCCUUCAUCGUCAUUACUGUCCUCGUCGUCAUCAUCAUCAGCGUUAUCGUCAGAGAGAGAGAGAGACAGACAGAGAGAGACAGACAGAG
ensembl:lncRNA